rnacentral:rRNA from 1 species
UGCCAGACUCCUACGGGAGGCAGCAGUGAGGAAUAUUGGUCAAUGGGCUUACGCCUGAACCAGCCAAGUCGCGUGAGGGAAGACUGCCCUAUGGGUUGUAAACCUCUUUUGUCAGGGAGCAACGCCGGCUACGUGUAGCCGGACUGAGAGUACCUGAAGAAAAAGCAUCGGCUAACUCCGUGCCAGCAGCCGCGGUAAUACGGAGGAUGCGAGCGUUAUCCGGAUUUAUUGGGUUUAAAGGGUGCGUAGGCGGAAUGCCAAGUCAGCGGUAAAAUUUCGGGGCUCAACCCCGUACUGCCGUUGAAACUGCAUCCCUUGAGUGCGCGAGAAGUAUGCGGAAUGCGUGGUGUAGCGGUGAAAUGCAUAGAUAUCACGAAGAACUCCGAUUGCGAAGGCAGCCUACUAAACUGCCACUGACAUUGAUGCUCGAAAGUGUGGGUAUCAAACAGGAUUAGAUACCCGCGUAC